GCUGGGAAUGUAGAUUAGUGGUAGAGCACUUGCCUAGCAUGUGCAAAGUCCUGGGUUCCAUCCCCUGCACAGCA
rnacentral:tRNA from 1 species